rnacentral:rRNA from 1 species
CUCUGUGACUCCUACGGGAGGCAGCAGUGGGGAAUAUUGCACAAUGGGGGAAACCCUGAUGCAGCCAUGCCGCGUGUGUGAAGAAGGCCUUCGGGUUGUAAAGCACUUUCAGUAGGGAGGAAGGUAGUGUAGUUAACACCUGCACUAUUUGACGUUACCUACAGAAGAAGCACCGGCUAACUCCGUGCCAGCAGCCGCGGUAAUACGGAGGGUGCGAGCGUUAAUCGGAAUUACUGGGCGUAAAGCGCAUGCAGGCGGCCUGUUAAGUCAGAUGUGAAAGCCCGGGGCUUAACCUCGGAAUUGCAUUUGAAACUGGCAGGCUAGAGUCUUGUAGAGGGGGUAGAAUUUCAGGUGUAGCGGUGAAAUGCGUAGAGAUCUGAAGGAAUACCAGUGGCGAAGGCGGCCCCCUGGACAAAGACUGACGCUCAGAUGCGAAAACGUGGGGAGCAAACAGGAUUAGAUAUCCUGGUAG